rnacentral:rRNA from 1 species
GUCCUUUUGAUUUGUAUAAAAGGUUUAACCUGCCCAUUGAUUUUAUUAAAAGGCUGCAGUAUUUUGACUGUACAAAGGUAGCAUAAUCAUUAGUUUUUUAAUUGGAAACUAGAAUGAAUGGUUGAAUGAAAUAUUAACUUUUUUAAUUAAAAUAUAGAAUUUUACUUUCUUAUUAAAAGGUAAGAAUAAAUUUAAAAGACGAGAAGACCCUAUAGAGUUUUAUACAAAAAUUUAAAUUUAAUUAUAAGAUUAAUUAAUUUUUUUAUCUUCUUUGUAUUUUGUUGGGGUGAUAGUAAAAUUUAUAAAACUUUUAUUUUUAAAAAACAUUAAUUUAUGAAUAAUUGAUCCAUUUUUAAUGAUUAAAAAAUUAAAUUACCUUAGGGAUAACAGCGUAAUUUUUUUUUUAAGUUCAUAUUUAUAAAUAAGUUUGCGACCUCGAUGUUGGAUUAAGAUUAAUUUUAGGGGCAGCCAUUUAAAUUUUAAGUCUGUUCGACUUUUAAAUUCUU